rnacentral:rRNA from 1 species
AGAGUUUGAUCCUGGCUCAGGAUAAACGCUAGCGGCAGGCUUAACACAUGCAAGUCGAGCGGCAACGGUGUCAGCAAUGACAGCCGGCGAGCGGCGAAUGGGUGAGUAACGCGUAUGCAACCUACCUUUAUCACAGGGAUAGCCUUCCGAAAGGAGGAUUAAUACUUGAUAGUUUUUUUGUAAGGCAUCUUAUAAAAAAUAAAGAUUCAUUGGAUAAAGAUGGGCAUGCGUGGCAUUAGUUAGUUGGUGAGGUAACGGCUCACCAAGACGAUGAUGCCUAGGGGUUCUAAAAGGAAGGUCCCCCACAUCGGCACUGAGACACGGGCCGAACUCCUACGGGAGGCAGCAGUGAGGAAUAUUGGACAAUGGGCGAGAGCUUGAUCCAGCCAACCCGCGUGAAGGAAGAAGGUUUUAUGAAUCGUAAACUUCUUUUGAAAGGGACUAAAGUUAUCUACGCGUAGAUAUUUGAAUGUACCUUUCGAAUAAGCAUCGGCUAACUCCGUGCCAGCAGCCGCGGUAAUACGGAGGAUGCAGGCGUUAUCCGGAUUUAUUAGGUUUAAAGGGUGCGCAGGCGGAGUAUUAAGUCGGCGGUGAAAUUUCAUGGCUUAACCAUGGCAGUGCCGUCGAUACUGGUAAUCUUGAGAUUUUCUGAGGUAGGCGGAAUGAGGCGUGUAGCGGUGAAAUGCAUAGAUAUGCCUCAGAACACCGAUUGCGAAGGCAGCUUACCAAGAUUGAUCUGACGCUCAUGCACGAAAGCGUGGGUAUCGAACAGGAUUAGAUACCCUGGUAGUCCACGCGGUAAACGAUGAUCACUCGCUGUUUGGGUAAAAACUCAAGUGGCCAAGCGAAAGCGAUAAGUGAUCCACCUGGGGAGUACGGCGGCAACGCUGAAACUCAAAGGAAUUGACGGGGGCCCGCACAAGCGGAGGAACAUGUGGUUUAAUUCGAUGAUACGCGAGGAACCUUACCCGGGCUCAAACGCACAUUGAAGUUUUAGAAAUAAGAUAGCCCAGCAAUGGGAGAUGUGCGAGGUGCUGCAUGGUUGUCGUCAGCUCGUGCCGUGAGGUGUCGGGUCAAGUCCCAUAACGAGCGCAACCCCUGUUCAUAGUUGCCAACGGGUCAAGCCGGGGACUCUAUGGAGACUGCCGCCGUAAGGUGAGAGGAAGGUGGGGAUGACGUCAAAUCAGCACGGCCCUUACGUCCGGGGCGACACACGUGUUAC